rnacentral:rRNA from 1 species
UACGUAGGGUGCAAGCGUUGUCCGGAAUUAUUGGGCGUAAAGCGUCCGCAGGUGGCUGUUCAAGUCUGCUGUCAAAGCGCAGAGCUUAACUCUGUACAGGCGGUGGAAACUGAAGAGCUAGAGUAUGGUAGGGGUAGAGGGAAUUCCUGGUGUAGCGGUGAAAUGCGUAGAUAUCAGGAAGAACAUCGGUGGCGAAGGCGCUCUGCUGGACCAUAACUGACACUCAGGGACGAAAGCUAGGGGAGCGAAUGGG